GGGACUGCUCAGUUUUAGAAAAGCAAACUUAUUUUCAGUGAUAUAGCUUUUACAUCCAUCAUUUUUCUGUGUGAUCUGUUUCUGUUCACCCCAUGUACAUGGGUAUGCUAUAGAUAGCCUGAAAAAGCAAAUACUCCGCAUAUUCUGGCCUUACCAGAUAUGAAACAUAAUACAUAAUCUAUAGUUAAGAGUUUGGGAAAGCAUCAAAAUAAGCUCUAGUUAUAUAAUAUAUAUCUAUAUCUGAGGGUGGGGGGGCAUUUGCAGGCUCACAUUUAACUUUUUUUUUUUUAAAUAUAUAUUAGAAAACAGUGAUCUUGUUUAGUGAUGCCUUGUUUAGUGAUAUUUAACCAAGUUUUAGAAAACUUACCUAUUUUUCUGUAGAGUUUUGGUAUAUUCCUCCUGAAUUGAAGAAACACAUUUGAGAGCUGUAUAUGGCUAUUAUCUUUCAGACCAUCCUUGCAAGUAGUGUCCCACUUCAGAUUCUUGUGCUUUGAGGCAGGCCAGGGACUAUGACAUACUUCAGGCAAGUGGUUGAGACCCCAGGCAAGUCAUGAAUUAAGAAGGUGCAUCCAUGUGGCACCACGUAAUCCUUUAUCAAGGCAGAGGGAAUGUUUCAAGUCCACAAGCAAUCUAGCAGGCAUUGUUUGCCAAGGUGCACAGCAUCCCCUUUGUGGCCUCUAGGUCAGAGGAUAGAGCUGGUCCUGCUGAGGUGAAAAUGGGACACCAGAUGCUCCUUGUUUUCAGAAUAUGUGACUCUGCAAAACUGAGACUUACCAGUGAAAGAGCUGAGAACCGAUUGCCUUCUGUGAACAACUUUGGACUUCAGCAUUGUGGUGGUAUGGGAUAUGAAAGCAAUUUUCAGGAAUGAAUCAGGAACUUUGGACUGACAUCACAUGGGCCUUCCAGGUACCUAAUUCACUUUGGAAAUGAGACUUGGGGUACAGAUGUCAAAUGCAAUGGGUCACUUGUUGCUCUUUCAGGCCUUUUUGAGUUUACCACUUCUGUGACAUUGAUAGGUCAAUUGCAUGCUAAUCAACUCAAACCUGCCUUAGUUUCCAAGCACAUACCUAAAUGAGCUAAAAUUAGUCAUUUGUUUUGACAAUCCACAGGAGCUUUUCAGCAGCAAUCCUGGCAAUGAACAUAACAUCCAUAGCAAUAAAGGUUAUAAUCUACCUCUGUGAAUAGCA
rnacentral:lncRNA from 1 species